UGGGGAAUAUUGCACAAUGGGCGCAAGCCUGAUGCAGCCAUGCCGCGUGUAUGAAGAAGGCCUUCGGGUUGUAAAGUACUUUCAGCGGGGAGGAAGGGAGUAAAGUUAAUACCUUUGCUCAUUGACGUUACCCGCAGAAGAAGCACCGGCUAACUCCGUGCCAGCAGCCGCGGUAAUACGGAGGGUGCAAGCGUUAAUCGGAAUUACUGGGCGUAAAGCGCACGCAGGCGGUUUGUUAAGUCAGAUGUGAAAUCCCCGGGCUCAACCUGGGAACUGCAUCUGAUACUGGCAAGCUUGAGUCUCGUAGAGGGGGGUAGAAUUCCAGGUGUAGCGGUAAAAUGCGUAGAGAUCUGGAGGAAUACCGGUGGCGAAGGCGGCCCCCUGGACGAAGACUGACGCUCAGGUGCGAAAGCGUGGGGAGCAAACAGG
rnacentral:rRNA from 1 species